ACGAACGCUGGCGGCGUGCUUAACCCAUGCAAGUCGAACGGAAAGGCCCUGCUUUUGUGGGGUGCUCGAGUGGCGAACGGGUGAGUAACACGUGAGUAACCUGCCCUUGACUUUGGGAUAACUUCAGGAAACUGGGGCUAAUACCGGAUAGGAGCUCCUGCUGCAUGGUGGGGGUUGGAAAGUUUCGGCGGUUGGGGAUGGACUCGCGGCUUAUCAGCUUGUUGGUGGGGUAGUGGCUUACCAAGGCUUUGACGGGUAGCCGGCCUGAGAGGGUGACCGGCCACAUUGGGACUGAGAUACGGCCCAGACUCCUACGGGAGGCAGCAGUGGGGAAUAUUGCACAAUGGGCGGAAGCCUGAUGCGGCAACGCCGCGUGCGGGAUGACGGCCUUCGGGUUGUAAACCGCUUUCGCCUGUGACGAAGCGUGAGUGACGGUAAUGGGUAAAGAAGCACCGGCUAACUACGUG
rnacentral:rRNA from 1 species